UGUUCUUUAAUGAUGUGGUUUUAUGACGUGAAAUUCACGUUUGCAACGUGAAAAAACAUGUCAUUAAUUAUUUAAAUUAUUAAUCGUAUGUUUUUCAUAAGAAAUUUUGAAAUUUAAAAAAAAAUAAAAUCAUUAUGACAUAAAUAUUACGUUGCUAUUUAAAUUUUAAAAAAAAUAUCUGAAUGAGAAAAAUUUGAUUAAUAGAAUGAAUUUGACUAACAUUUAUAAGGUAGUGUCAUAGUUUUCACGUCACUAAUAAACAAAUGAAAUUCACAUCAUAAUUCUAAAUUAGUGAUGCAAAUUUAAUGACGCAAUAAACUCUAUUUAUUAGGCUUAAGCGCUUU
rnacentral:lncRNA from 1 species